GUGUGCACAUGCGUACGUAUGUGCGCAUGCAUGUACGUGUGUGUGUGUGUCAGUGUGUGCGUGUGUGUGUGGUUGGGCUGGUAUGUAUAGCUGUGUGUAGUAGUGGCUGGACUCAGACCGUGAGAAUGUGGAGGCAAACUGGAGAGAGAUCCGAUAUCAGCCAGGCUCUGGUUUCCGUGGAGAUCCGGGAAGAGCUGUGGACAACUGUUGCUGCAGCUGGAUUUGGCUGUGCGAGCCACUGUCAACAGGAAAAUGGACCUUGUUCUCCAGCUUGGUGGAUUAACUGUGCUGAACCAGGCCAGGGUUAUCUGCCCCCCACCCACAAAGCCCCAUCCUCACCCUACUCCCCUGAGAGUCACCAUGUCUCCCUCCGACCAGCAGACCACGGUGGUGUGACGGCCACAGGGACUCAGAGCGCGUCCCGCGCAUAACCGUCUCCAUGGCACCCUGUCCAGGGUGAACUCCCUUGCUCUCUGAGCAUGUCAUUACAGGACGUUUGAGUGUCACUGGUAAUUCUGCAGCCUGACCACAGAAUAACCCUGUUAGCUCAGCAGCCUUCUACUGCCCCACUUCUGCCCCUCUCACCAUCUUCUGCCCCCCUACUGCCCCCCUACUGCCUCCCACUUCCCCGCACUGCCCCACUCAGCCCCCCUGCGGCCCCUUCCUUCCCUCCCCCACCCCCCGCUGGGCUGUUUUGGAACGCUGAAGUACAAUCACUCAGGCAUUUGCAGAGAGAGAGCGAGAGAGAGAGAGAGGGAUGUGAAAGAAAGCAGAGAGAAAAAACGAAAAAAAGAAAAAAGGAGGCUUUCCGCACAGUCCAGAUAUAUCCUUGCACUUUUCCAUGUGUUUAUUUUCAUUUUCUGGUGGGACAGCAUUUCCGAGGGAACGCCAGGAAGACUGGUGCUUUCCCUGUGGGAGCGUCAUUCCGAUAAAAAUAGGGGAAUCUUUUUUCGGAGCGGGUUUCGGAGGCCGAGGAGCGUGUCCCUAAGGCUACGCUCAGACCCUCGGUGUUUUUGCCCACAGAGCAGCAGGACAGGAAGAGUCUGAAUCUGCAGCUCCGCCCCCGGCAGCUCCGCCCCCGGCAGGAGCAGCAGACCUGUGGAGUCGUGCAGUGAGGUUCAGAGCAUCAGAUCACAUCAGUGAAGAAGGAAGCGAGUCUCGUCUACAGUUGUCCUGCAGGGGCGCAGUGGUACUCUGUUUGGAAACAAACUUUGUUUUUAAAUAAAGUUUCUCUCGUUCUC